rnacentral:lncRNA from 1 species
AAUCAUUUCGAUUUUCUUGGGGUUUAUCCAAUAUGCGUAUGUCAUGCUGCAAUAGUUUUUCGAAUUGCUCGGGAUUUAUCAUAAUAUACAUUGAAUUAAAACGAAAGUGAAUGUCCGGUAAAAAUAUUGAAUAGAAGCAUGUUUUCCUCGCGAGAUGUUUUCAGCUUCUUUUGAAUAGCUGAGGGAAAGUUAUGAUGAUAACAAGACUCAGCCAGUGUUUUUAGGAAGCGUCAUUUGAACGCACAGGCGUGUUUGUGUACCUUAUCGAGAACAUUGCUAAUAAACACUUGGUUUUAUCGUGAAAAACGAAACCAGUUGGAAAAAGUGAAAGGCC